rnacentral:rRNA from 1 species
GACGAACGCUGGCGGCGUGCUUAACACAUGCAAGUCGAACGAAGAGCGAUGGAAGCUUGCUUCUAUCAAUCUUAGUGGCGAACGGGUGAGUAACGCGUAAUCAACCUGCCCUUCAGAGGGGGACAACAGUUGGACACGACUGCUAAUACCGCAUACGAUCUAACCUCGGCAUUGAGGAAAGAUGAAAGGUGGCCCCUAUGUAUAAGCUAUCACUGAAGGAGGGGAUUGCGUCUGAUUAGCUAGUUGGAGGGGGAACGGCCCACCAAGGCGAUGAUCAGUAGCCGGUCUGAGAGGAUGAACGGCCACAUUGGGACUGGGACACGGCCCAGACUCCUACGGGAGGCAGCAGUGGGGAAUCUUCCGCAAUGGACGAAAGUCUGACGGAGCAACGCCGCGUGAGUGAUGACGGCCUUCGGGUUGGAAAGCUCUGUUAAUCGGGACGAAAGGCCUUCUUGCGAAUAGUGAGAAGGAUUGACGGUACCGGAAUAGAAAGCCACGGCUAACUACGUG